rnacentral:rRNA from 1 species
AAUAUUGCGCAAUGGAGGGAACUCUGACGCAGCGACGCCGCGUGAGCGAUGAAGGUCUNCGGAUCNUNAAGCUCUGUCCUUGGGGNCGAAGGUCUUCGGACUUGACGGUACCUAAGGAGGAAGCCCCGGCUAACUACGUGCCAGCAGCCGCGGUAAUACGUAGGGGGCGAGCGUUGUCCGGAAUUACUGGGCGUAAAGGGUACGUAGGCGGCUAUAUAAGUCAGGUGUGAAAUACCAGUGCUUAACACUGGAAUUGCAUUUGAAACUGUGUAGCUUGAGUGCAGGAGAGGAAAGUGGAAUUCCUAGUGUAGCGGUGAAAUGCGUAGAGAUUAGGAGGAACACCAGUGGCGAAGGCGACUUUCUGGACUGUAACUGACGCUGAGGCACGAAAGCUAGGGGAGCAAACA